GAAGCACCAUGGCUCAGUGGCAGAGCAGCUGCUUUUCAUGCAGAAGGUCCCUGGUUCAAUCCCUGGCGGCAUCU